UACAGAGGGUGCAACCGUUGCUCGGAAUCAUUGGGCGUAAAGCGCACGUAGGUGGCGCGUUAAGUCGGAUGUGAAAGCCCUGGGCUCAACCCAGGAAGUGCAUACGAAACUGGCGCGCUUGAGUAUGGAAGAGGGUCGCGGAAUUCCCGGUGUAGAGGUGAAAUUCGUAGAUAUCGGGAGGAACACCAGUGGCGAAGGCGGCGACCUGGGCCAAUACUGACACUGAGGUGCGAAAGCGUGGGGAGCAAACAGG
rnacentral:rRNA from 1 species